GAUGAAGAACGUAGCGAAAUGUGAUAAGUAGUGUGAAUUGCAGAAUUCAGUGAAUCAUCGAAUCUUUGAACGAACAUUGCGCCCCUUGGUAUUCCAUGGGGCAUGCCUGUUCGAGCGUCAUUUGUACCUUCAAGCUUUGCUUGGUGUUGGGUGUUUGUCCCGAGGGACUCGCCUUAAAGUAAUUGGCAGCCAGUGUUUGGUUUUGAAGCGCAGCACAAGUCGCGAUUCAAGGCUACACGCCCGCUUCCACAAGCCUUUUUUCACUUUUGACCUCGGAUCAGGUAGGGAUACCCGCUGAACUUAAGCAUAUCAAUAAGCGGAGGA
rnacentral:misc_RNA from 1 species